UCCCUGGUGGUCAAGGAUCCAACUCUGCACUCCUAAUACAGGGGGCCCAGGUUCAAUUCCUGGUCACGGAA
rfam:TPA: Bos taurus chromosome 17, whole genome shotgun sequence.